rnacentral:rRNA from 1 species
CUCGGAGUUUGAUCCUGGCUCAGAUUGAACGCUGGCGGAAUGCUUUACACAUGCAAGUCGAACGGUAGAGGGGGCAACCCCUCGAGAGUGGCGAACGGGUGAGUAAUAUAUCGGAACGUGCCCAGUCGUGGGGGAUAACGUAGCGAAAGUUACGCUAAUACCGCAUACGAUCUACGGAUGAAAGCGGGGGACUCGCAAGAGCCUCGCGCGAUUGGAGCGGCCGAUAUCAGAUUAGCUUGUUGGUGGGGUAAAGGCUCACCAAGGCGACGAUCUUUAGCUGGUCUGAGAGGAUGAUCAGCCACACUGGGGACUGAGACACGGCCCAGACUCCUACGGGAGCAGCAGUGGGGAAUCUUAGACAAUGGGGCGCAAGCCUGAUCUAGCCAUGCCGCGUGAGCGAUGAAGGUCCUU